UACUAUCAUUGGCUCUUUCUUUUUUUUUGAGCAGGAGAAAGAUAGUAUGUUACCCGUUUCGUAUAUUUUUUAAAAAAAUAAAUUUAGCUGAAAAUGUGAAUGAAUUAGGAUUCGAAUUUGUGACCUCGGAUACCAACCACUAAAUCCUUUGCUACUUGCAUUAGGAACGGUCAGUGUCAUUAACUCCUCUUAUGUCAGGGAAAGUGAGAGAAAUAGCAGCAAGGGGAGAAUAUUCCC
rnacentral:lncRNA from 1 species